rnacentral:rRNA from 1 species
GUUAUUUCUGCUCAAUGAUUUUAAAUAGCCGCAGUACUCUGACUGUGCAAAGGUAGCAUAAUCAGUUGGCUUUUAAUUGGAGUCUGGCAUGAAUGAAAAUAUGGGUAGUAACUGUCUUAGCAUAUUAUUUGAACUUAUUAAACAAGUGCAAAUGCUUGUAUUUACACAAUAGACGAGAAGACCCUAGAAACUUGAAUUGAUUUUUGUUGGGGCGACAGAAUUACAUUUAACUAAUUUUUAUUACAUGACGCAAGGUUGAAAGAAUAAGUUACUCUAGGGAUAACAGCAUAAUUUUAGUAGUUUGUGACCUCGAUGUUGGACUAGGUAUUAUACCCUUUAGACAAGGGUAUACCAUGCUCUGUUCGAGCAAGAUUACCUACAU